ACAUUUAAUAUAUAUGUAUAUAUAUAUAUAUUAAUUGUUAACAUUAAUUACUAGUUAAAGCUAGGAACCCAGCCAAUACCAAUGUACAGGCGAUUCUCAGCUUUUGUGAUUGAUCAAUGAACUCAAGUGCAUCCAAGAUCAGACCAAGAAGUGACGCGAGCAGCUUUUCUUAAUGCCAGAUGCUACCCCAGGAAGCGAGAAAAAGCAGAAGAGGAGUCAAAAUCUAAGGAUAACGACAUGAGCUUCGCUUUCUUUUGUUGGCUUUGAGGACAGCCGCCCUUUACAACGACUUAUUUCUUGGAAACAAAACUGCCCUGAUUUUACACCAUACCUUUUAAACUGAAAGCAUUUAUUUAUUUUAAUGUUUUUUAAUAAAUUAUUUGACAAUAAACUCUA